UACGGGGGGGGCAAGCGUUGUUCGGAAUUACUGGGCGUAAAGGGCGCGUAGGCGGCCUGCUAAGUCAGACGUGAAAUCCCCCGGCUUAACCUGGGAACUGCGUCUGAUACUGGACGGCUUGAGUAUGGGAGAGGGAUGUAGAAUUCCAGGUGUAGCGGUGAAAUGCGUAGAUAUCUGGAGGAAUACCGGUGGCGAAGGCGGCAUCCUGGACCAUUACUGACGCUGAGGCGCGAAAGCUAGGGGAGCAAACGGG
rnacentral:rRNA from 1 species